CCUACGGGGGGCAGCAGUGAGGAAUAUUGGUCAAUGGGCGCUAGCCUGAACCAGCCAAGUAGCGUGAAGGAUGACUGCCCUAUGGGUUGUAAACUUCUUUUAUAAAGGAAUAAAGUGCGGCACGUAUGCUUCUUUGCAUGUACUUUAUGAAUAAGGAUCGGCUAACUCCGUGCCAGCAGCCGCGGUAAUACGGAGGAUCCGAGCGUUAUCCGGAUUUAUUGGGUUUAAAGGGAGCGUAGGUGGGUUGUUAAGUCAGUUGUGAAAGUUUGCGGCUCAACCGUAAAAUUGCAGUUGAUACUGGCAGUCUUGAGUACAGUAGAGGUAGGCGGAAUUCGUGGUGUAGCGGUGAAAUGCUUAGAUAUCACGAAGAACUCCGAUUGCGAAGGCAGCUUACUAAACUGCCACUGACAUUGAUGCUCGAAAGUGUGGGUAGCAAACAGGAUUAGAUACCCUUGUAGUC
rnacentral:rRNA from 1 species